CACCCGAUAGCACAAGGUGUGCAUCUGCAGGAUGUUGAGAGUUGGUGAAUAAUUUAUGCAGAAGGGUCCCGUUCGAUUCGGGGUCGGGUGA